rnacentral:snoRNA from 10 species
GAGAUUAUACUUUCAGGGAUCAAUUCUAUAGUUUGUUACUAGGGAAGUUUCUCUGAAUGCGUACAGACCUGCAGAAGAGCAGCAGAACCCACGAGGAGAAGGC